rnacentral:rRNA from 1 species
GGGUGAGUAAUAUAUAGAUAACGUGCCUCUUAGUCUGGGAUAGCCAUUGGAAACGAUGAUUAAUACUGGAUAUUCCUUCUCUAUCUAAUUAGAGUCGGGAAAGUUUUUCGCUAAGAGAUCGGUCUAUAUCCCAUCAGUUAGUUGGUAAGGUAACGGCUUACCAAGGCAAUGACGGGUAGCGGGUUUGAGAGGAUGAUCCGCCACACUGGUACUGAGACACGGACCAGACUCC